GACAGAGGUGCCAAGCGUUAGGCGGAAUCACUGGGCUUAAAGCGUGUGUAGGCGGAUCGUUAAGUACCUUGUGAAAUCCCACGGCUCAACCGUGGAACUGCUGGGUAUACUGGCGAUCUUGAGCCACCUAGGGGCGAGCGGAACAAGCGGUGGAGCGGUGAAAUGCGUAGAUAUCUGGAGGAACACCGGUGGCGAAGGCGGCAUCCUGGACCGACACUGACGCUGAGGAGCGAAAGCCAGGGGAGCAAACGGG
rnacentral:rRNA from 1 species